UUAAUUUUCCCGAGGCACAUCAGUUUGUAAAUUAAACCUUGUAACACCUCCGAUAACCCGAAGUAGCUCGAGCCAAUUUUGAACUUCGGCUGCAACUCUUACGCCGGCAACCAAAUAAAAAUUAGUGAAAAUUGUAAUUCGGAGGGUCCAAAAAUUUCCAUGGAGAAAAUAGUCGAAGUAUUCCGGGCGACACCUUCCAGCGUAAAAAUUCAGGGAAAAAGUAACGGAAGUGCAAUAUUCAAUUAUGCAAGCAGAGGAAGAGAAAAAGAGAGAGAGAGUGUGUGCGUGCGCUUCUUAUCUUGCGUGUAUGCAAAUGAUAGUCGGUCCCGGACUUAAUCAAGAGAUACUAUAACACGCUGCCUGUGAAUCGGUUACCAAUCACUGGUCUCGCAACGAACGGGUUUCUUUGAGGCAAAUUAGGACCCGCGCGAAGUCGGCUUCUGAGACCUACCAACUUCAUCGGCACGCUGAUGAUGAUCCGAUGCAAGAUCAUAGAAAGAGAGAGAGAGAGAGAGAAGAGAGAAGAGGGUGCUUUAACUGGUUCCUUCGUAUGAAUACGAAAUCGAGUGCUUUCAUUAGGAAUCCACACAGCCUACACUCUGCGCGGAAUAGGGGACGUUUAUAAUACGGAGAUGAUACUUUCUCGGCUGCAGUUAAUUUCCCGGCCUGAAUGGGUUUGCGCAGCUUUUUAUGAAAGCUCGCAUUUCCGCGUGUAUUACUUUCUUAAACGAGAUUCCGAACAGAAUAAUCGAACGCGGAUAUUUAUUUGAAGAUGCCGCGUGCCCGACGAUGCGAACCGCGAAGGUUUAUUUUUCGGAGAUUUCGUGAACGAAGCAAGCAUUGGAAGAAUUCAUUCCUGUGUAAAACGAUUCGUCUGCGAAUUAAAAAUAUAUUUCCCAGGAUACGAAGAAACCAGCUAUUCUAGCUAAUUGGAUUUUUCAAUAGUAUCGAUGCGCAGGGUGAGUCAUUCAACUAUUUCACUCACCCUGUAUAUUAGUCGUUCGAACGAAUAUUUGGUAUUCCCCUUCGCGAACAGCAAAAUUGCUCCCGUUUCCUACGGUUUCCGUUAAUUGAUUUUAAAGAGUCGCCUUCGACGUUGCUUAUUAUUAUUGUAAAUAUUUCGUGUAUGGAACGUACGAAUGCCUUUUGCCGGUGACGUUUAAUCAUUCGCAUCGAAAACUUGACGUCCGAUUGAAAAGAUUUUUUUUCUUAUUAAUAACUGCACUCGUUGCUUGCUAAUACUGGAAAGAUAUUAAUAUUCCGCGUAUUAUACCGUAGGAAAAGUGAUAUUAAAUCCAAACGCGCGCGUAAUUCGUAUUUGCGUAAAUUGUGUAAAUCGUAUUAAGCUACUGUACGGUCGAACAUGUGUGUAGUACCAUCGUUAUGCGAUUGAAUUUAAGUUAAGAAACAAAUGCAACGUUCGAAUUUAAUCAUGCGAUAAUAAUAGUAUACGUAUAUUCGGGGUAACAUAUUAGAAUCGGUAUAGUAAAAGUUUCUCAGAACGUUAAUGAAGGAAGGUCUCAUUAGAGAAACACAAACAACCCGUAAAUUAUUUAUAUAAAUAUUACAAAUAAAUUACAUAUUCAGAAUAUCAAUUUAA